CAAGUGAAUAUAUGCCUCCUCUCUUUUGUGAGAUCCCACAGAAAUACAUGAAAUUAUAUUAAUGAGAAAGAAGCUAUAACAUGCAUGUACAUUGAAAAGAGCCAGCAAGAGAAAAACAUUGGCUUGAGUGGGAGAAGAAAAAGAACAAAAUAGAUUGAAUUGAUGGAAAAAUGCAACAAGGUUCCUUAUUGCCACCCUUUAACUCUGUUGUCGGUGCAAAAAUGAGAAGUGUUGACAGGCCGGACAGAAUUCUGUGACUCAUGCAUUUGGUGUCUGUGGGAGAGUGGCCCAAAGCUGGAACCCUGGGUCUUGAUCUUAUAGCACAUAAUGUGGUGGACCACACAGGUAUUUCUACCAGGAUGGAGAUACUCAUUGCCCAGCAGUUGAGGAUAAAGAGAGAUGAUUACUGUCAGCUGAGCCACGUUCUAGAAAUGUCACAUGGGAUCCAGAGUGAGAAUGUAUAGGUGAACCUCAGUUCAUGGACACCUCCGAGACUGACUCAGCUCCACACAUAGUGCCCUCCAGCCAGUAGUCAUUCACAUCACCGCCUACCGAGGACCAACGCUCACAGAAUCAGGCUGAACCGCAACAGCACUGAAGGACGCAACAGAACAAAGAUGUGAAAAAGAGAACAACCUGGGAGACCUCAAUACCUCAUCCUUUGGGACACAUCUUAAGAGGCAAACGGAGGGUUUUUUUUUUUAAUGCAUAAAACUCUCUCUACACAAGUUUCCUCUCUUAUGUUUUUGAAGACAAGACCAUCAGGAAGGUCAAGUACAAACUGGGAGAAGACAUUUGCCAAAGAGGUUAUAGCUCAUGGAAGUUAACACAGAGGCCGUGAAACUCGUUCCCACAGAUGAAUUAGAAUUGAUUCACAUGAAAAAUUGGCAAAAUCUAUGAACAGGCACUUUGCAGAGGAUAGAGCACAAAGGCCAAGCAGCUUAGUCAUCGAACAAGAGGACCAGACACCAAUGGAAACAGAUGCCCUAGGUGAUCCAGCUUCUUAUAGUACCUCUGUUGCAGUUUCCUCAGAGUUAUGCAUCCAGAACAGUUUCAGCUGCAAAGGCACUUGGAGGUUCUGGGAGUGUGAAGAGGAUCCAGCAUGGUUGUUUGGCAGAAGGAAAGACACAUGGAGGAAGAGGCCUGUUAGAGACGAAUACAGCAGUGUGCUGAAGUGGCAAUGGCAGAAUGACAAAAGGCACAGAGCAGGAAGGAGGGAAGUCUCCUGUGUUAGAGGAGACUUCACAGAAAUGACCUGGAGAGUUGUCUUCAUUACUGUUCUAUUGCUGUGAAAAGACACCAUGGCCAAGGCAACUUAUAAGGGGAGGCAUUUAAUUAGGGAUUUGCUUACAGUUUCUGAGGAUUGGUCUUUCAUCAUCAUGGCAUAGCAGCUUGUAAGCAGGCUUGGUGCUGGAGCAGUAGCUGAGAGCUUUACAUCCUGAUCCACAGACAGUAGGCAUAGAGAGAGAGAGACACUGGGCCUGGUGUGAGCAUUUGAAACCUUAAAGCCAGUGACACACCUACUUCAACAAGGCCACACCUACUCCAACAGGGCCACACCUCAUAAUCUUUCCCAAAUAGUUCAUUAACUGGCAACUGAACAUGCAAAUAUAUGAGCCUAUUGGGGGGCCAUUCUCAUUCAAACUGCCACAAGAGUGAACAGUAUAAAAUAAGACAAGGUUGUACAAACUGAAUGCAGGGCUAGGUAGGACUCUUGGGAAGUAUGCACAAGGAACUUAAGAAUAAGAGCUGGAGCCCAGUGAUACCUCAGGAGCAUGAGAUAUCAGAGGCAGAAGCAUUAGGGGAGCAUGGCUGAGACUUGAACAAGCAAAAGCACAAAAAAAGUUUAGAGCCUUGGUCAUGAUUCUUAUGCAAAGCAGGAUCACCACUGAGUCAUCAACAGAA